GACGAACCGUGCGAACGUUGUUCGGAUUCACUGGGCUUAAAGGGCGCGUAGGCGGCUUGCCAAGUCGGGGGUGAAAUACUUCAGCUUAACUGGAGAAGUGCCUUCGAUACUGGCGGGCUUGAGGGAGGUAGGGGUCUUUGGAACUUCUGGUGGAGCGGUGAAAUGCGUUGAGAUCCACAGGAACUCCGGUGGCGAAGGCGGCCUGCUGGACCCGAACUGACGCUGAGGCGCGAAAGCCAGGGGAGCGAACGGG
rnacentral:rRNA from 1 species